rnacentral:rRNA from 1 species
AAUGGGCGCAAGCCUGAUCCAGCCAUGCUGCGUGCAGGAAGAAGGCCUUCGGGUUGUAAACUGCUUUUGUACGGAACGAAAAAGCCCUGGUUAAUACCUAGGGCUGAUGACGGUACCGUAAGAAUAAGCACCGGCUAACUACGUGCCAGCAGCCGCGGUAAUACGUAGGGUGCGAGCGUUAAUCGGAAUUACUGGGCGUAAAGCGUGCGCAGGCGGUUUUGUAAGACAGAGGUGAAAUCCCCGGGCUCAACCUGGGAAGUGCCUUUGUGACUGCAAAGCUGGAGUGCGGCAGAGGGGGAUGGAAUUCCGCGUGUAGCAGUGAAAUGCGUAGAUAUGCGGAGGAACACCGAUGGCGAAGGCAAUCCCCUGGGCCUGCACUGACGCUCAUGCACGAAAGCGUGGGGAGCAAACAGGAUUAGAUACCCUGGUAGUCCACGCCCUAAACGAUGUCAACUGGUUGUUGGGUCUUAGCUGACUCAGUAACGAAGCCAACGCGUGAAGUUGACCGCCUG